GGGAUUGCCUCAGUAACGGCGAGUGAAGCGGCAACAGCUCAAAUUUGAAAUCUGGCCCUUUCGGGGUCCGAGUUGUAAUUUGUAGAGAGUGCUUCGGGGGAGGCGGCGGUCUAAGUCCAUUGGAACAUGGCGUCAUAGAGGGUGAGAAUCCCGUAUGCGACCGUGGCUCGAACCCAUGUGAAGCCUCUUCGACGAGUCGAGUUGUUUGGGAAUGCAGCUCAAAAUGGGUGGUAAAUUUCAUCUAAAGCUAAAUACCGGCUGGAGACCGAUAGCGCACAAGUAGAGUGAUCGAAAGAUGAAAAGCACUUUGGAAAGAGAGUCAAACAGUACGUGAAAUUGUUGAAAGGGAAGCGCUUGCAACCAGACCUGCCCGCAGGCGAUCAGUCGCUGUUCUCAGCGGUGCACUCGCCCUGCGAUCAGGCCAGCAUCGGUUUCGGCGGUCGGAUAAAGGCCUUGGGAAUGUAGCUCCCCUUCGGGGGAGCCUUAUAGCCCUCGGUGCAAUGCGGCCAGCCGAGACCGAGGACCGCGCUUCGGCUAGGAUGCUGGCGUAAUGGUUGUAAGCGACCCGUCUUGAAACACGGACCAAGGAGUCUAACAUCUAUGCGAGUGUUUGGGUGUCAAACCCAUGCGCGGAAUGAAAGUGAACGGAGGUGAGAACCCUGAAGGGCGCAUCAUCGACCGAUCCAGAUGUCUUCGGAUGGAUUUGAGUAUGAGCAUAGCUGUUGGGACCCGAAAGAUGGUGAACUAUGCCUGAAUAGGGUGAAGCCAGAGGAAACUCUGGUGGAGGCUCGCAGCGGUUCUGACGUGCAAAUCGAUCGUCAAAUUUGGGUAUAGGGGCGAAAGACUAAUCGAACCA
rnacentral:rRNA from 1 species